ACAACACGGGUUGCAGUGAGCGAGCUCAGGCGGGGGUGAGCGCGUACACGGCACCCUAUUUCCAGCGUUCCUAGCGGCGGAGGGCCGCAACUCGUGUUUUGACGUCUGCCAGGCUUUGAUAAAACGCUCACCCCCGCCUGAGCUAGCUCACUGCUGCGUUUUAAAUUUCAACAGUGCUUUGAAAUUGUUACUUUUUGUCUUCGUGUUUGGCGAAGAUGACAUCCUGCAUCUGAGAUCUAAAUAGCUACUUAAAAAAAUAGUUUAAUAGGCACACUGACAAAAUGAUUCGUAAGGGCCGUAAACCAACUCCACAAUUUCUAGACGAUGAAGAGGAUGAUGAUGAAAUACAAGAGGAUGAUGAUGAAAUGGAAGAGGAGGAGGAUGAAAUGCAAGAGGAGGAGGAUGAAAUGCAAGAGGAUGAAGCUGAAGGAUUAAUUACUCAAUAAUAUUGUCAACCUAAGAAUGUGUGCAUUUGCGUUUUUUUAAUAAACAGAAGUUUGCAAUUAAA